AACAGACCUGGAAUGAAUCCUUCUCGCUCUUCAUACACUGAGACAGGUUGAAAUCUAAGACCAUGGCAGGGAGAAGCCGCACGCGGAGUCGCACUGUCAGGAUCCAGGAUCGGUCUUAAUCAGAUUGCAAGUUCUUCAGGCUUGGAACCAUAUCACCACAAUGAACAGCCAAGUAUAAAGGGUCCCUGGGGAAACCCCAACCGGCCUGCGCCCUGGGAGAAUGGGGUGGAGCCACGGAAGUUCACGCGCUUUGCAGAGGGGAGGAGCCUGGCCUCUCCUGAUCCUGGAUAGUACCUGAGAUUCAAUCGCUGAGGCGGGAAAACCCGCUAGCAGGACUGUUGCUUUGCUGAGAGUCCCUGUUUCCCUUUUUUUCCUUUUGGCCCGAUAAAUUCCAUUUUUCUCACCCUUCAAAAU
rnacentral:lncRNA from 10 species